rnacentral:rRNA from 1 species
GCAUAUCAAUAAGCGGAGGAAAAGAAACCAACAGGGAUUGCCUUAGUAGCGGCGAGUGAAGCGGCAAGAGCUCAAAUUUGAAAUCUGGUACCUUCGGUGCCCGAGUUGUAAUUUGAAGAAGGGUAUCUUGACUUUGGCCUUUGUCUAUGUUCCUUGGAACAGGACGUCACAGAGGGUGAGAAUCCCGUGCGAUGAGGUGUCCUUUGUCAUUUAAGAUCCUUUCGAAGAGUCGAGUUGUUUGGGAAUGCAGCUCUAAGUGGGUGGUAAAUUCCAUCUAAAGCUAAAUAUUGGCGAGAGACCGAUAGCGAACAAGUACAGUGAUGGAAAGAUGAAAAGAACUUUGAAAAGAGAGUGAAAAAGUACGUGAAAUUGUUGAAAGGGAAGGGUAUUAGAUCAGACUUGGUAUUUAGUUAUCAUUGCUCCUUGUGGGUGGUGCUCUAGCUGUUUACUGGGCCAGCAUCAGUUUUGGUGGCAGGAUAAUGACAUUUGAAUGUGGCUCUCUCGGGAGUGUUAUAGCUUUUGUUGAUGCUGCCUACCGGGACUGAGGUCUGCGGCUUUGCCUAGGAUGCUGGCGUAAUGAUCCAAUACCGCCCGUCUUGAAACAUGGACCAAGGAGUCUAACGUCUAUGCGAGUGUUUGGGUGUAAAACCC